GUGCUCGCUUCGGCAGCACAUAUACUAAAAUUGGAACGAUACAGAGAAGAUUAGCAUGGCCCCUGCGCAAAGUAUGAUCAGAAUCUUGCUUACAUGUGGAAUCUAAAC